ensembl:snoRNA
GUCCUUUCGUGGUUCAUGAACGUGAUGGUUGUGUGUUCACGCACAUGCGUGAGAUGUGCCACCCUUGAACCUUCUUACGACAUCUGCACAUUACCCAUCUAACC